UCAGUCUUGGGACUCUUUCUUUGGUUGACU
rnacentral:piRNA from 1 species